GUAGGUGGCAAGCGUUGUCCGGAAUUAUUGGGGCGUAAAGCGCGCGCAGGCGGUUCUUUAAGUCUGAUGUGAAAGCCCACGGGCUCAACCGUGGAGGGUCAUUGGCAACUGGAGAACUUGAGUACAGAAGAGGAAAGCGGAAUUCCACGUGUAGCGGUGAAAUGCGUAGAGAUGUGGAGGAACACCAGUGGCGAAGGCGGCUUUCUGGUCUGUAACUGACGCUGAGGCGCGAAAGCGUGGGGAGCAAACAGGAUUAGAUACCCUGGUAGUCCACGCCGUAAACGAUGAGUGCUAAGUGUUAGGGGGUUUCCGCCCCUUAGUGCUGCAGCUAACGCAUUAAGCACUCCGCCUGGGGAGUACGGCCGCAAGGCUG
rnacentral:rRNA from 1 species